rnacentral:rRNA from 1 species
CCUACGGGCGGCUGCAGUGGGGAAUUUUGGACAAUGGGCGCAAGCCUGAUCCAGCCAUUCCGCGUGAGUGAAGAAGGCCUUCGGGUUGUAAAGCUCUUUCGCAAGGGAAGAAAACUUAUCCUCUAACAUAGGAUGAGGUUGACGGUACCUUGAUAAGAAGCACCGGCUAACUACGUGCCAGCAGCCGCGGUAAUACGUAGGGUACUAGUGGUCAUCGGAAUUACUGGGCGUAAAGCGUACGCAGGAUGUGAAAUCCCCGAGCUCAACUUGGGAACUGCGUGUGAAACUACAAGACUAGAAUAGGGCAGAGGGGGGUAGAAUUCCACGUGUAGCAGUGAAAUGCGUAGAGAUGUGGAGGAAUAGCAAUGGCGAAGGCAGCCCCCUGGGAUCAUAUUGACGCUCAUGCACGAAAGCGUGGGGAGCAAACAGGAUUAGAUACCCGAGUAGUC